UACGUAGGGUGCAAGCGUUGUCCGGAAUUAUUGGGCGUAAAGAGCUCGUAGGCGGUUUGUCGCGUCGAAUGUGAAAACCCGGGGCUCAACCCCGGGCCUGCAUUCGAUACGGGCAGACUAGAGUUCGGUAGGGGAGUCUGGAAUUCCUGGUGUAGCGGUGAAAUGCGUAGAUAUCGUAAGGAAGACCAGUGGCGAAGGCGACUCUUUGGCCUGUAACUGACACUGAGGCGCGAAAGCGUGG
rnacentral:rRNA from 1 species